rnacentral:rRNA from 1 species
AGAGUUUGAUCCUGGCUCAGAUUGAACGCUGGCGGCAUGCCUUACACAUGCAAGUCGAACGGUAGAGGGGCAACCCUUGAGAGUGGCGAACGGGUGAGUAAUAUAUCGGAACGUGCCCAGUCGUGGGGGAUAACGCAGCGAAAGCUGCGCUAAUACCGCAUACGAUCUAAGGAUGAAAGCGGGGGAUCGCAAGACCUCGCGCGAUUGGAGCGGCCGAUAUCAGAUUAGGUAGUUGGUGGGGUAAAAGCCCACCAAGCCGACGAUCUGUAGCUGGUCUGAGAGGACGACCAGCCACACUGGGACUGAGACACGGCCCAGACUCCUACGGGAGGCAGCAGUGGGGAAUUUUGGACAAUGGGCGCAAGCCUGAUCCAGCAAUGCCGCGUGCAGGACGAAGGCCUUCGGGUUGUAAACUGCUUUUGUACGGAGCGAAACGGUCUGGGUUAAUACCCUGGGCUAAUGACGGUACCGUAAGAAUAAGCACCGGCUAACUACGUGCCAGCAGCCGCGGUAAUAC